CAGCCGUAAACUAUGCGCGUUAGGUGUAUCGGUGACCACGAGUUACCGAGGCGCCGAAGGGAAACCGUGAAACGUGCCGCCUGGGAAGUACGGUCGCAAGGCUGAAACUUAAAGGAAUUGGCGGGGGAGGCACCACAACGGGUGGAGCCUGCGGUUUAAUUUGGACUCAACGCCGGGAAGCUCACCGGAUAAGACAGCGGAAUGAUUGCCGGGCUGAAGACUCUGCAUGACUAGCUGAGAGGAGGUGCAUGGCGUAGACGUCU
rnacentral:rRNA from 1 species